CAGCCGCCACGGUAAUACGAAGGGUGCAAGCGUUACUCGGAAUUACUGGGCGUAAAGCGUGCGUAGGUGGUGGUUUAAGUCCGUUGUGAAAGCCCUGGGCUCAACCUGGGAAUUGCAGUGGAUACUGGGUCACUAGAGUGUGGUAGAGGAUAGUGGAAUUUCCGGUGUAGCAGUGAAAUGCGCAGAGAUCGGAAGGAACAUCUGUGGCGAAGGCGACUAUCUGGGCCAACACUGACACUGAGGCACGAAAGCGUGGGGAGCAAACAGGAUUAGAUACCCCUGUAGUCCCUGUCUCUUAUAC
rnacentral:rRNA from 1 species